UCAUGACAUUACAUGAGGGGAACUGAUUAGAGUGGGAGUUCUUUUUUCUUUUUUUUACUUGGACUAAUAAUUCAUACAGGAACCCUUUAGGUGACAUCAGCAGGAUCUAGAGUCAAUAUUUUAAAAAGGAGGUUUUCCUACUUGAGAAGAUGGGGAAGUUGUCUCAGAUUGCCUUUAAGACUGCACAGUGCUGGUACCUCCAAACACAGAUUAGAGUUGGGAAUAUUUUUCCUAAGGAAAAAAGUAUUUGUGGCAAAGAAACUAAAAUUAUAUGGAGAAACUAGAGAACUCAAACACAAGAAUAUGCACUGAAUCAGCAAACUUUGCAGCUGAGUUCAAGAAACACAUGCCUGUGUACAGUCCGUUAAUGUGCAAAUCCAACCCUUAUUUAUUUUUAUCUUAGCUUUUCAAACAAUUAUUGUCUUCCAAACUGGCUCACAUCUUCAGUAAAAAUGAAAUAUAGCCCUGCCAUGAGGCUUUCAAACUAAAAAGACAAGACACACAAGGGAACGGGAGUGGAGGGAAAAGGCAGGGGAAUAUUAGCUCUUCAAGACCAGAAUGAAGAAGGCAUUUAUAUCUAGUUCAGGCUAGGCUGAAUUUCCCUUGCAGAUGUUCUUGCUUGAAUGGCAAUAGGUAGCUCUUUUCCUUUUGCAGGAUAGAAAUU